rnacentral:misc_RNA from 1 species
GUAUACGUAAUAGAACAGGAUAGUGAAUGGGAGGGAAACGUACUGAAAACACAGACAGUGGAAACGGCGGGGGCUCAGACACUACAGCUUCCUAAAAAACGCGCCAGGAGAGAGAAAUCCGAAAGUCCAGACCGAGUCAACAUCAGCAGGGACCCGAUUGUCUGUUCCCGCCAUCAACGUGACCCGGGAUCGUCUGCUUCAGCAAGGAGUUCGACGAUUGUUACUUCUGUCUCUCUCCAAGAAACGUGAUUUCCCCCCUCUACAAACGGGUAGAAAGGAUGGCGAAUCUCAGCCUUUUCUUCACAACUGUCCUGGUUGUUCUUUUGGUUUCUGUUUAUCCCGGGGAAUCUAAGACUGUUCACAAGCGCAGUGUGUUCCAGAUGUGUGAGCUGGUCCAGUUCUACACGGGGAAUUCCUGCUAUGACUAUAACGAUUACGGUUGUUUCUGUGGGUACGGGCAGGUGGGCUACAAAGCGGUGGACAGGGUGGACGGAUGCUGCAGGAAGCACGAUUCGUGUUAUGGCCGGGUGAACUGUUACUUCGGGGCCCAGUUUGUGCCGUUUGUGACGUCAUGUAAUUCCACCACCCAGGAAUGUCAAUGCACGGACCCAGCUGGUUCCUGCGCCCGUGACGUCUGCGACUGUGACCUUGAGUUCGCCGCCUGUCUGCGGGGUCAACCGGUACACAGUGUGUUCAUGAACUAUGAUAGGACCCAGUGUAAACUCUCUCCUCCCAGAUUCGUGGUUCAGGACUGACUUUGUACCCCAAUAAACGUCAUAUUCUGCUUUCUAUCUUUUGAUAAUUUUCAUUCAAAACAAACUGUCGUCAAGAACACAAGCUUACCGUUUAGAUGAGGCAUUAAAAUUAUGUGAAAAUUAUGCGCAAAAAUAUUUUUUGACAUACUAAGGCAUCGCAUAGCAGGACCUCUUAAAGAUAUAUACUCGUAUACAUAAAAUUCUUUGAUA